GCAUAAAGGAGGUAACUCGGGGGUGUUAGAGUUAUAAUAUAAGUCAUGUACCCCUUUGUAUUUAUCCUGUUGUAUAAGGGGUUUCCUGCAUAUGUUCCACACCUGUACAUGUAUAUAUAUCGGCCUAUGGCCUCAUGGGAAUACAAGUUGCAUAUUUCCUAACACAGAC